UACAGAGGGUGCGAGCGUUUGUUCGGAAUUAUUGGGCGUAAAGCGCGUGUAGGCGGUUGUCCAAGUUGGAUGUGAAAGCCUUGAGCUCAACUCAAGAAAUGCAUUCAGGACUGGAUGACUAGAGGACCGGAGAGGAUAGUGGAAUUCCCAGUGUAGUGGUGAAAUACGUAGAGAUUGGGAAGAACACCAGUGGCGAAGGCGGCUAUCUGGACGGUUUCUGACGCUAAGACGCGAAAGCGUGGGGAGCAAACAGG
rnacentral:rRNA from 1 species